rnacentral:misc_RNA from 1 species
SGUAAUGCUCAUAACUUCCCUCUAGACCUGGCUGCGGUCGAGGCUCCAUCUAUAAAUGGAUAAUAUCGGGGUUUUAAAGUAUACGAGUUUUUAAAAAAGUAAAGGAGCGAUAGAAAAAACUCUAUUGCUCCUUUACUUUAUACUUUUUUUUUUAGAAUUCUUUUUUUUGUUACAUUGCUUGCGAAGCCAUAUGUAUUCCAAAAAAAGAUAAACAAAAAAAGAAUGUUUCCAUUUAAUUUUUUGUUUAUUUUAUCCUAUCUUAGAAGAUAAAAAAGAAUGAUAACGAAAAAGGGUUGAAAUUGAAGUCUAAUUAUUUUUACAUAGUAUAG